GGAGGCUUCGCCUAGUCUGGUCUAUGGCGCCGCACUGCUAAUGCGGUUUCGGGUUCCCCCCGAUCCCGGGUUCAAAUCCCGGAGCCUCCGCCA
rnacentral:tRNA from 1 species